GACGUAGGGGGCCAGCGUUGCUCGGAAUAACUGGGCGUAAAGGGUUCGUAGGCGGUGUGGCAAGUCGGGAGUGAAAUCCUGAGGCUUAACUUCAGGACUGCUACCGAAACUGCCAUGCUCGAGUGCGGGAGAGGCGAGUGGAAUUGCAGGUGUAGCGGUGAAAUGCGUAGAUAUCGAGAAGAACACCAGCAGCGCAGGCGGCUUUCUGGUCUGUAACUGACGCUGAGGCACGAAAGUGUGGGUAGCAAACAGGAUUAGAUACCCCUGUAGU
rnacentral:rRNA from 1 species